rnacentral:rRNA from 1 species
CCUGUGAGGGUUGCUGGAGGUAUCAGAAGUGCGAAUGCUGACAUAAGUAACGAUAAAGCGGGUGAAAAGCCCGCUCGCCGGAAGACCAAGGGUUCCUGUCCAACGUUAAUCGGGGCAGGGUGAGUCGACCCCUAAGGCGAGGCCGAAAGGCGUAGUCGAUGGGAAACAGGUUAAUAUUCCUGUACUUGGUGUUACUGCGAAGGGGGGACGGAGAAGGCUAUGUUAGCCGGGCGACGGUUGUCCCGGUUUAAGCAUGUAGGCUGGUUAUCCAGGCAAAUCCGGAUAAUCAAGGCUGAGGUGUGAUGACGAGGCACUACGGUGCUGAAGUAACAAAUGCCCUGCUUCCAGGAAAAGCCUCUAAGCAUCAGGUAACAUCAAAUCGUACCCCAAACCGACACAGGUGGUCAGGUAGAGAAUACCAAGGCGCUUGAGAGAACUCGGGUGAAGGAACUAGGCAAAAUGGUGCCGUAACUUCGGGAGAAGGCACGCUGGUGUGUAGGUGAAGUCCCUGCGGAUGGAGCUGAGACCAGUCGAAGAUACCAGCUGGCUGCAACUGUUUAUUAAAAACACAGCACUGUGCAAACACGAAAGUGGACGUAUACGGUGUGACGCCUGCCCGGUGCCGGAAGGUUAAUUGAUGGGGUUAUCCGUAAGGAGAAGCUCUUGAUCGAAGCCCCGGUAAACGGCGGCCGUAACUAUAACGGUCCUAAGGUAGCGAAAUUCCUUGUCGGGUAAGUUCCGACCUGCACGAAUGGCGUAAUGAUGGCCAGGCUGUCUCCACCCGAGACUCAGUGAAAUUGAACUCGCUGUGAAGAUGCAGUGUACCCGCGGCAAGACGGAAAGACCCCGUGAACCUUUACUAUAGCUUGACACUGAACAUUGAGCCUUGAUGUGUAGGAUAGGUGGGAGGCUUUGAAGCGUGGACGCCAGUCUGCGUGGAGCCAACCUUGAAAUACCACCCUUUAAUGUUUGAUGUUCUAACGUAGGCCCCUAAUCGGGGUUGCGGACAGUGUCUGGUGGGUAGUUUGACUGGGGCGGUCUCCUCCCAAAGCGUAACGGAGGAGCACGAAGGUUAGCUAAUCCUGGUCGGACAUCAGGAGGUUAGUGCAAUGGCAUAAGCUAGCUUGACUGCGAGCGUGACGGCGCGAGCAGGUGCGAAAGCAGGUCAUAGUGAUCCGGUGGUUCUGAAUGGAAGGGCCAUCGCUCAACGGAUAAAAGGUACUCCGGGGAUAACAGGCUGAUACCGCCCAAGAGUUCAUAUCGACGGCGGUGUUUGGCACCUCGAUGUCGGCUCAUCACAUCCUGGGGCUGAAGUAGGUCCCAAGGGUAUGGCUGUUCGCCAUUUAAAGUGGUACGCGAGCUGGGUUUAGAACGUCGUGAGACAGUUCGGUCCCUAUCUGCCGUGGGCGCUGGAGAAUUGAGGGGGGCUGCUCCUAGUACGAGAGGACCGGAGUGGACGCAUCACUGGUGUUCGGGUUGUCAUGCCAAUGGCACUGCCCGGUAGCUAAAUGCGGAAGAGAUAAGUGCUGAAAGCAUCUAAGCACGAAACUUGCCCCGAGAUGAGUUCUCCCUGAGACU